rnacentral:tRNA from 1 species
AACACUAUAGUUUAAUAGGAAAAACGAUUGCUCUGCAAGCUUUAGUUUCAGGUUCGAAUCCUGAUAGUGUUU